rnacentral:rRNA from 1 species
GACGAACGCUGGCGGCGUGCUUAACACAUGCAAGUCGAACGGUGAAGCGCCUUCCUUUUUGGUGGGUGUGGAUGAGUGGCGAACGGGCGAGUAACACGUGAGUAACCUGCCCCCUUCUUCUGGAUAACCGCAUGAAAGUGUGGCUAAUACGGGAUAUUCUGGGUCUGUCGCAUGAUGGGUCUGGGAAAGAUAUUGUUUCGGUGGGGGAUGGGCUCGCGGCCUAUCAGCUUGUUGGUGGGGUGAUGGCCUACCAAGGCGGUGACGGGUAGCCGGCCUGAGAGGGUGGACGGUCACACUGGGACUGAGACACGGCCCAGACUCCGACGGGAGGCAGCAGUGGGGAAUAUUGCACAAUGGGCGCAAGCCUGAUGCAGCGACGCCGCGUGAGGGAUGGAGGCCUGCGGGUUGUGAACCUCUUUCGCCAGUGAAGCAGGCCUGCCUCGUUUGUGGGUGGGUUGACGGUAGCUGGAUAAGAAGCGCCGGCUAACUACGUG